rnacentral:rRNA from 1 species
UACAGAGGGUGCGAGCGUUAAUCGGAAUUACUGGGCGUAAAGCGUGCGUAGACGGUAAUGUAAGUCGGGUGUGAAAGCCCCGGGCUCAACCUGGGAAUUGCAUUCGAGACUGCAUCGCUUGGUGCGGAAGAGGAAGCGGAAUUCCGGUGUAGCGGUGAAAUGCGUAGAUAUCGGAAGGAACACCAGUGGCGAAAGCGGCUUCCUGGUCCGACACCGACGUUCAGGCACGAAAGCGUGGGGAGCAAACAGG